rnacentral:rRNA from 1 species
AAGGAAUAACGUCGAGAAAUCGGCGCUAAUACCUCAUAAUGCAGCGGAUCCGCAUGGAUAUGUUGUUAAAGGUUUACCGCCUUGGGAUAGGCUUGCGUCUGAUUAGCUAGUUGGUGUGGUAAUGGGCACACCAAGGCUACGAUCAGUAACUGGUCUGAGAGGAUGAUCAGUCACACUGGAACUGAGACACGGUCCAGACUCCUACGGGAGGCAGCAGUGAGGAAUAUUGGGCAAUGCACGAAAGUGUGACCCAGCAACGCCGCGUGGAGGAUGAAGGUAUUCUAUAUCGUAAACUCCUGUGAGAGCAGACGAAAGACAGAUUAUUAAUUUGGAUGACUGUAUGCUCAGAGGAAGCCCCGGCUAACUACGUG